rnacentral:rRNA from 1 species
GACGAACGCUGGCGGCGUGCUUAACACAUGCAAGUCGCACGAAGUGGCGAACGGGUGAGUAACGCGUAAUCAACUUGCACUUCAGAGGGGGAUAACAGUUGGAAACGACUGCUAAUACCGCAAACUGAAGGAGGGGAUUGCGUCUGAUUGGCUAGCUGGAGGGUAAACGGCCCACCAAGGCGAUGAUCAGUAGCCGGUCUGGGAGGAUGAACGGCCAAAGUGGGAAUGAGAAACGGGCCAGACUCCUACGGGAGGCAGCAGUGGGGAAUCUUCCGAAAUGGACGAAAGUCUGACGGAGCAAAGCCGCGUGAGUGAUGACGGCCUUCGGGUUGUAAAGCUCUGUUAAUCGGGACGCGGUACCGGAAUAGAAAGCCACGGCUAACUACGUGCCAGCAGCCGCGGUAAUUC